UACGGAGGGUGCAAGCGUUAUCCGGAUUCACUGGGUUUAAAGGGUGCGUAGGCGGGCUUGUAAGUCAGUGGUGAAAGCCCGGAGCUUAACUCCGGAACUGCAUUCGAUACUGCCGUGCUUGAGGACUGGAGAGGAGACUGGAAUUUACGGUGUAGCGGUGAAAUGCGUAGAUAUCGUAAGGAAGACCAGUGGCGAAGGCGGGUCUCUGGACAGUUCCUGACGCUGAGGCACGAAGGUCAGGGGAGCAAACGGG
rnacentral:rRNA from 1 species